ACGGAGGAUCCAAGCGUUAUCCGGAAUCAUUGGGUUUAAAGGGUCCGUAGGCGGUCUUUUAAGUCAGAGGUGAAAUCCUACAGCUCAACUGUAGAAUUGCCUUUGAUACUGAAGGACUUGAGUUAUUGUGAAGUAGUUAGAAUGUGUGGUGUAGCGGUGAAAUGCAUAGAGAUCACACAGAAUACCGAUUGCGAAGGCAGAUUACUAACAAUAUACUGACGCUGAGGGACGAAAGCGUGGGUAGCGAACAGG
rnacentral:rRNA from 1 species